AGGUAAAAAAAAUUUUGUUUUGCAAGAAAUUCAAUUUUAAACCCACCCAUGGCCAAAUCAGAGUGAAAGAACUGGCCAAUUGGCUGAAAAAUAGCGCCGAAGCCCGGCGUCGCCGCCGCGGGGAAUUUCACAAACUGCCUCCGAUGAGGCCCUUCCCGAUUCCUGUUUCGUAUAAUUUUUCCACCGUUUUGAUCACCAUUUUUCUCUCUACAGGUUGACCGAAGCGAAACACCCAAUCGCAAUGUGAGCUGAAGGAGCCACCGCACCGGAGAGCCCCGCUGCCGAUGAGUUUCGAUUUUUCAUAUUUUUUCGACCCAUAGAGACACUUUAGCGUGUGUACUCAUAUGAAUAAAUGUAAAAUCAAUCGAAUUCGGUCGAAAACGGUCGACCCAAGGCGAAUUGCCACCGCAGGCGGCGACUCCGUCGCCGGAGCACGGCGAAGCUGCAGUGCCGAAUUUUCAAAAUUGGCUGAGUAGGCCCUAGGACU
rnacentral:lncRNA from 1 species